rnacentral:rRNA from 1 species
UGAACGCUAGCGACAGGCCUAACACAUGCAAGUCAGGGGCAGCACAAGGAGCAAUCUGAGGUGGCGACCGGCGCACGGGUGAGUAACACGUAUGCAACCUGACCUGUAAGCGGGGAAUAACCCGUUGAAAGACGGACUAAUACCGCAUAAUACUAAAUUACUGCAUGGUAAUUAUUUAAACAUUUAUGGCUUACAGAUGGGCAUGCGCAUGAUUAGCUAGUUGGAGAGGUAACGGCUCCCCAAGGCAACGAUCAUUAGGGGUUCUGAGAGGAAGGUCCCCCACACUGGUACUGAGACACGGACCAGACUCCUACGGGAGGCAGCAGUGAGGAAUAUUGGUCAAUGGACGAGAGUCUGAACCAGCCAAGUCGCGUGCAGGAAGAAUGUCCUUAAUGGAUUGUAAACUGCUUUUGCAGGGGAAUAAAGUGCAUCACGUGUGAUGUUUUGUAUGUACUCUGCGAAUAAGGAUCGGCUAACUCCGUGCCAGCCGCAGC